rnacentral:rRNA from 1 species
UACGAAGGGUGCAAGCGUUACUCGGAAUUACUGGGCGUAAAGCGUGCGUAGGUGGUGAGUUAAGUCUGUCGUGAAAGCCCCGGGCUCAACCUGGGAAUGGCGAUGGAUACUGGCUCGCUAGAGUGCGGUAGAGGAGAGUGGAAUUCCCGGUGUAGCAGUGAAAUGCGUAGAGAUCGGGAGGAACAUCAGUUGCGAAGGCGACUCUUUGGUCUGUAACUGACGCUGAGGCGCGAAAGCGUGGGGAGCAAACAGG